rnacentral:lncRNA from 1 species
UUGUGUUUAUAUGUGUUUAUAUGUACCAAUCAUCAGUAGUUGGUACACACAUACAUAGUUGGAUCAUCAUAUAUCACGAUAAAAAGAUAGGGUAGAAAGAGUUUAAUUACGAAACUUUGGUUAAAUCAAAAUCUUUACAACAGCAACAACAGAAGCGAAAGGAAACAGGUGGGCACAUCUGACACGACACAGGCGGUGACUGGAAGACAAAAACCGCUAGAUGACUGCUUCAACUGGGACAACUCC